rnacentral:rRNA from 1 species
AACGAACGCUGGCGGCAUGCCUAACACAUGCAAGUCGAACGAGAUCUUCGGGUCUAGUGGCGCACGGGUGCGUAACGCGUGGGAAUCUGCCCUUUGGUUCGGAAUAACAGUUGGAAACGCCUGCUAAGACCGGAUGAUUACGAAAGUCCAAAGAUUUAUCGCCAGAGGAUGAGCCCGAGUAGGAUUAGCUACUUGGUGUGGUAAAGGCGCACCAAGGCGACGAUCAUUAGAUGGUCUGAGAGGAUGAUCAGCCACACUGGGACUGAGACACGGCCCAGACUCCUACGGGAGGCAGCAGUGGGGAAGAUUGGACAAUGGGCGAAAGCCUGAUCCAGCAAUGCCGCGUGAGUGAUGAAGGCCUUAGGGUUGUAAAGCUCUUUUACCCGGGAUGAUAAUGACAGUACCGGGAGAAUAAGCUCCGGCUAACUCCGUGCCAGACGCCGCGGUAA